AAUUUCCGUUCGCAAAUUUAAAAUCAAAGCCCAGAAAAGAAGAAGAAGAAGGAUUUGGAGAAGAGUGAAAGAGAUGGCGUUUAUGAAGGGAGAACCAUUGAUAAGAAAGCUGGCCUUGGUAUCUAAGUACGCCGUUUUGCCUGGCCCCAAGAGAUUUCGAUGAUGGGGCCAUCUUGACUAAAUUCGUCAUGGAUGUAAGAGUUUGCUCUUGAAGUUUAGUAUGUAAUAAGGAUUUCUUGUCUCUAAUUGCUCAAUUUUGUGCUCAUUGAAGGUUUGAUGGUUCUACUUGUUUUUCUUAAGGAAUACUGACCGUUAAAUUUCUUAAGAUACUUUUUUUAUUUUGUUUCAUUUCUUUUCCUAUAAAUAAUAUUGUUUCAAUGAAUGUAAUAUUGAUUCACUUCACUUGGAUUGUUAAACAACAAUCAUUGUCCAUUGCUGGUUGCGCUUAUUAUUAGUAUUAGAUUCAGAUUAAAGCAGGCUAAUACGUUUGCCUUGUGUGCACAAAGUGAUAAAUCUUCAGCCUUUUCAGUACACAGGCAAGUAAAAUUGAAAGUCGAGAAGGGAUGUAUGUAAGUGGGGGAAUUCGGCGCAAAUAUUCUUCUCUUUUUGGAGAGAUUUUUUGGAAAUCUAAAUCUAUCCUUUUGUGUGUAUUGCAGUGAUUGGAUCAGAGGACUAUGCAUGCGACUACUCAUCAAAUCCAGCCAAGUUUAAGAGAGACUGACUAUAAUUACCAGAUAUUUAUACCUAUCUAUAAUAUAUAUUGGAGUGAAGAUUGAUCAUCACGUUUUAUCUAUAUCUAUUUCUCAGUGGGCUCUGAAAUUGAAGACAAUGGUUGAGACUCGAGCCUGUCUGACUGCCCAGAGUGUGUCCGUAUAUUAUUCUUUCUUAGCUUGAUAAGUUUUUGGCUUGGAAUCAUGUUAGCUAGGAAUGUAGACAGUUGAGAAGAAGUGCAGAAAGAAACGUUAAAAUAUAUAUAUAUAUUUAUAUAUCUAGUAAUGAUACAAGAGUGAAGGGAAUCCACACUCUGAUCUUUGCAUAUCGUACCUAGCUCUUUUUCUUUUCUGUCUAUACAUGGUUGUAAAGGUUUUUUUCUUUUUACUUUCUUUCUGAUUGUGUUUGCCUUUAUCAGAUAUAAUAUAUAAUAUAUAUAUUUAUUUAUAUAUAUA